GCUCCUACGGGACGCAGCAGUAGGGAAUCUUCCACAAUGGACGAAAGUCUGAUGGAGCAACGCCGCGUGAGUGAAGAAGGGUUUCGGCUCGUAAAGCUCUUUUGGUAGGGAAGAAAGAUAGAGGUAGUAACUGGCCUUUAUUUGACGGUAAUUACUUAGAAAGUCACGGCUAACUACGUGCCAGCAGCCGCGGUAAUACGUAGGUGGCAAGCGUUGUCCGGAUUUAUUGGGCGUAAAGCGAGUGCAGGCGGCUGCAUAAGUAUGAUUUGGAAUCCUCACGCCCAAC
rnacentral:rRNA from 1 species